GUGAGGAAUUUUCCGCAAUGGGCGAAAGCCUGACGGAGCAAUGCCGCGUGAAGGAUGAAGGCCUAUGGGUUGUAAACUUCUUUUCUCAGAAAAGAAUUAUGACGGUAUCUGAGGAAUAAGCAUCGGCUAACUCUGUGCCAGCAGCCGCGGUAAGACAGAGGAUGCAAGGGUUAUCCGGAAUGAUUGGGCGUAAAGCGUCUGUAGGUUGUUUAAAAAGUAUUCUGUCAAAGAUUAGGGCUUAACCCUAGAUAGGCAGAAUAAACUUUUAAGCUAGAGUUUGGUAGAGGCAGAGGGAAUUCCCGGUGGAGCGGUGAAAUGCGUAGAUAUCGGGAGGAACACCAAAGGCGAAGGCACUCUGCUGGGCCAAUACUAACACUGAGAGACGAAAGCGAGGGGAGCAAAUGGGAUUAGAUACCCCGGUAGUCC
rnacentral:rRNA from 1 species